rnacentral:rRNA from 1 species
UAAUACGUAGGUGGCAAGCGUUGUCCGGAUUUAUUGGGCGUAAAGCGAGCGCAGGCGGUUUUUUAAGUCUGAUGUGAAAGCCUUCGGCUCAACCGAAGAAGUGCAUCGGAAACUGGGAAACUUGAGUGCAGAAGAGGACAGUGGAACUCCAUGUGUAGCGGUGAAAUGCGUAGAUAUAUGGAAGAACACCAGUGGCGAAGGCGGCUGUCUGGUCUGUAACUGACGCUGAGGCUCGAAAGUAUGGGUAGCAAACAGGAUUAGAUACCCUGGUAGUCCAUACCGUAAACGAUGAAUGCUAAGUGUUGGAGGGUUUCCGCCCUUCAGUGCUGCAGCUAACGCAUUAAGCAUUCCGCCUGGGGAGUACGGCCGCAAGGCUGAAACUCAAAGGAAUUGACGGGGGCCCGCACAAGCGGUGGAGCAUGUGGUUUAAUUCGAAGCUACGCGAAGAACCUUACCAGGUCUUGACAUACUAUGCAAAUCUAAGAGAUUAGACGUUCCCUUCGGGGACAUGGAUACAGGUGGUGCAUGGUUGUCGUCAGCUCGUGUCGUGAGAUGUUGGGUUAAGUCCCGCAACGAGCGCAACCCUUAUUAUCAGUUGCCAGCAUUAAGUUGGGCACUCUGGUGAGACUGCCGGUGACAAACCGGAGGAAGGUGGGGAUGACGUCAAAUCAUCAUGCCCCUUAUGACCUGGGCUACACACGUGCUACAAUGGAUGGUACAACGAGUUGCGAACUCGCGAGAGUAAGCUAAUCUCUUAAAGCCAUUCUCAGUUCGGAUUGUAGGCUGCAACUCGCCUACAUGAAGUCGGAAUCGCUAGUAAUCGCGGAUCAGCAUGCCGCGGUGAAUACGUUCCCGGGCCUUGUACACACCGCCCGUCACACCAUGAGAGUUUGUAACACCCAAAGUCGGUGGGGUAACCUUUUAGGAACCAGCCGCCUAAGGUGGGACAGAUGAUUAGGGUG